GCAUUAAUGGGGUAGCGGUAACCUGGGUCGUUGCCAUCAAUUCCAUGUCAACCAUGUUAUCUUCGACCCGCCGGGGGUUCGACUCCCCCUUAAUGCA